UAAUACGUAGGGUGCGAGCGUUAAUCGGAAUUACUGGGCGUAAAGCGUGCGCAGGCGGUUUUGUAAGACAGGCGUGAAAUCCCCGGGCUCAACCUGGGAACUGCGCUUGUGACUGCAUCACUUGAGUACGGCAGAGGGGGGUGGAAUUCCACGUGUAGCAGUGAAAUGCGUAGAGAUGUGGAGGAACACCGAUGGCGAAGGCAGCCCCCUGGGUCGAUACUGACGCUCAUGCACGAAAGCGUGGGUAGCAAACAGG
rnacentral:rRNA from 1 species